UACGUAGGGCGCAAGCGUUGUCCGGAAUUAUUGGGCGUAAAGAGCUCGUAGGCGGCUUGUCACGUCGGGUGUGAAAGCCCGGGGCUUAACCCCGGGUCUGCAUUCGAUACGGGCUAGCUAGAGUGUGGUAGGGGAGAUCGGAAUUCCUGGUGUAGCGGUGAAAUGCGCAGAUAUCAGGAGGAACACCAGUGGCGAAGGCGGCUCACUGGACCGGUACUGACGCUGAUGCGCGAAAGCGUGGGGAGCAAACGGG
rnacentral:rRNA from 1 species